GUGAUGCUGACUGUCUCUCCCCAACUCAUCCAUCCAGUCUCACAGCGCUCCUGGGUCCGAGUGUGGGCCAGACUCAUACCACCGCGAUUCCCAGCCGAAAAGCGCGCAAAGAGCCAGGUAGGCCGCACCCAAUCCCGGAGGCCAGGACGCGAGAACAAAGACCCCGGUGACACUGCAGACUGAGUUUCUAGGCGCUGGGAG
rnacentral:lncRNA from 1 species